AGGGUCGUUCGAGACCAGGACGUUGAUAGGCUGGGUGUGGAAGUGCAGUAAUGCAUUAAGCUAACCAGUACUAAUUGCCCGUACGGCUUGUCCCU
rnacentral:rRNA from 1 species